CCUUUUCUGUAACUUUACUGUUGUGAUCCUUAUCUUCUUAUUUUUUUUUUUUUUAAGGAGAAAAGCAAUUUAUAAAGCAGUGAGCAGAACACUAUUCUGGAGAAUGAGAUGUCUGAUUUUUGUUCCAAGCUUCCCCGGAGUGACCUUGCACCGCCACUUUCUCUGUAUUUCAGCAUCCACAACUAUAAAAUUGACCUCCUCCCAAGACUUUGUUGUGCACAACUGUCAUACAGCUGAACACUGUUGUCCCUGGAUUACCUCGCUGCUUUGAUCUGUCACUGACGGAAAAGUGUCAUGGCAAAUAAAACUUAUUAGGACCUCCA
rnacentral:lncRNA from 1 species